rnacentral:tRNA from 1 species
GGGCCCUUAGCUCAGUUGGUAGAGCGCGGCAUUCGCAUUGCCGAGGUCGGGAGUUCGAGUCUCCUAGGGUCCACCA